AACGAACGCUGGCGGCGCGCCUAAUACAUGCAAGUCGAGCGAGAAAGUGUAGCAAUACACUUGUAAAGCGGCGAACGGGUGAGGAAUACAUGGGUAAUCUACCAUCGAGUGGGGAAUAACCAGCCGAAAGGUUGGCUAAUACCGCGUACGCUUCCGAGUCUUCGGGCUUGGAAGGAAAGCCGCACUGUGAGUGCGGCGCUCUUUGAUGAGCUCAUGUCCUAUCAGCUUGUUGGUAGGGUAACGGCCUACCAAGGCUUUGACGGGUAGCUGGUCUGAGAGGACGAUCAGCCACACUGGCACUGCGACACGGGCCAGACUCCUACGGGAGGCAGCAGUAAGGAAUAUUGCGCAAUGGGCGAAAGCCUGACGCAGCGACGCCGCGUGGGGGAUGAAGGUCUUCGGAUUGUAAACCCCUUUCGGGAGGGAAGAUGGAGCGAGCAAUCGUUCGGACGGUACCUCCAGAAGCAGCCACGGCCAACUUCGUGCCAGCAG
rnacentral:rRNA from 1 species